rnacentral:rRNA from 1 species
UACGAAGGGGGCUAGCGUUGCUCGGAAUUACUGGGCGUAAAGCGCACGUAGGCAGCUUUCUAAGUCGGGGGUGAAAUCCUGGAGCUCAACUCCAGAACUGCCUUCGAUACUGGAAAGCUCGAGUCCGGGAGAGGUGAGUGGAACUGCGAGUGUAGAGGUGAAAUUCGUAGAUAUUCGCAAGAACACCAGUGGCGAAGGCGGCUCACUGGCCCGGUACUGACGCUGAGGUGCGAAAGCGUGGGGAGCAAACAGG